AGUGAACGCUGGCGGUAGGCCUAACACAUGCAAGUCGAACGGCAGCACAGUAAGAGCUUGCUCUUACGGGUGGCGAGUGGCGGACGGGUGAGGAAUACAUCGGAAUCUACUUUUUCGUGGGGGAUAACGUAGGGAAACUUACGCUAAUACCGCAUACGACCUACGGGUGAAAGCAGGGGAUCUUCGGACCUUGCGCGAUUGAAUGAGCCGAUGUCGGAUUAGCUGGUUGGCGGGGUAAAGGCCCACCAAGGCGACGAUCCGUAGCUGGUCUGAGAGGAUGAUCAGCCACACUGGAACUGAGACACGGUCCAGACUCCUACGGGAGGCAGCAGUGGGGAAUAUUGGACAAUGGGCGCAAGCCUGAUCCAGCCAUACCGCGUGGGUGAAGAAGGCCUUCGGGUUGUAAAGCCCUUUUGUUGGGAGAGAAAAGCAGCAGGUUAAUACCCCGCUGUUCUGACGGUACCCAAAGAAUAAGCACCGGCUAACUUCGUG
rnacentral:rRNA from 1 species